AGAGCCAGAGGGGAUUGGUGUGGAGUAGAGAACAGUUUGGAGGAGUCGAGCAGAGAGGAUUGGUGUUGGAGCAAGAACAGUUUGGAGAGUCGGAGCAGAGGGAUUGGUGUUUGGGUAGAGAACAGUUUGGAGGAAUCGGAGCAGAGAGGAUUGGUGUUGGAGCAGAGAACAGUUUGGAGGAGUCGGAGCAGAGAGGAUUGUGUUGGAGCAGAGACAGUUUGGAGGAGUCAGAGCAGAGAGGAUUGGUGUCGGAGCACGAGAGGAUUGGUGUUGGAGCAGAGACAGUUU